rnacentral:misc_RNA from 1 species
AAGUCGUAACAAGGUUUCCGUAGGUGAACCUGCGGAAGGAUCAUUAGAGAUGUGCGCGAGCACUUUUCCCCUUUCACACCUGUGCACCGUGGUCUCCGGACCUACAAACCUGUAGUCAUGAACGUUGAUUCGUCAAUUAAAGUUAAAGUUCCAAACUUAAAAAAAUCCUU